CCUUUGGCUCUAUUAAGAGCCAAACAUAGAAACUCUAAUGAAGCUU
rfam:Pelecanus crispus contig92123, whole genome shotgun sequence.